CCUACGGGAGGCAGCAGUGAGGAAUAUUGGUCAAUGGGCUUACGCCUGAACCAGCCAAGUCGCGUGAGGGAAGACUGCCCUAUGGGUUGUAAACCUCUUUUGUCAGGGAGCAACGCCGGCUACGUGUAGCCGGACUGAGAGUACCUGAAGAAAAAGCAUCGGCUAACUCCGUGACAGCAGCCGCGGUAAUACGGAGGAUGCGAGCGUUAUCCGGAUUUAUUGGGUUUAAAGGGUGCGUAGGCGGAAUGCCAAGUCAGCGGUAAAAUCGCGGGGCUCAACCUCGCUCUGCCGUUGAAACUGGCGUUCUUGAGUGGGCGAGAGGUAUGCGGAAUGCGUGGUGUAGCGGUGAAAUGCAUAGAUAUCACGCAGAACUCCGAUUGCGAAGGCAGCAUACCGGCGCCCAACUGACGCUGAAGCACGAAAGCGUGGGUAUCGAACAGGAUUAGAUACCCCUGUAGUC
rnacentral:rRNA from 1 species